AAUGUAAAAAUGUUCUCGUAGCCUUCGCAUCGCUGGGGGUGCAUAUCCUGAUAACAAUAAGUUUUCUUCCAGUGAGACUGCGGAUGGCACCUUGGAUGAAGCAUAUAUCGAGCUGCCCUGCCUCGUCACACUUGCCUCUGACGACAACACUGAAAAUGGGAGCACCGGAGUACAGCUUCCGAAGUCCAACAACGUCGAAGAGGCAUUCCCGAGUACAAUCGGCGAGGACAUGGUGGUAUUGCUGGUAACCGAUAAGAAGAUUUCUGAUGGAAAGUGCAAUGGAGAACAGAACACUACGAACUACCAGGACGGCGACACAGCUGUCCACUACAUCAGUCCUCACGAAUCAUUGUCGCACAAUGACGAACCACUACCUUUGACUUCAAAGAAGAUGCAUAGGGCCAAAAAGGAAACCGGUCUUCCGCUUCCAGUGUCCAGUAGCGGCGCCCUCGUUGACACGGUUCCCAGCACAAGCCGUGUGGACAAGAACACAACUGCAUUGGCGAGAAACAA